ACGCUCGACACCUACGGGAGGCAGCAGUGGGGAAUAUUGCACAAUGGGGGAAACCCUGAUGCAGCGACGCCGCGUGAAGGAAGAAGUAUCUCGGUAUGUAAACUUCUAUCAGCAGGGAAGAAAGUGACGGUACCUGACUAAGAAGCCCCGGCUAACUACGUGCCAGAAGCCGCGGUAAUCUGAGCGGGCUGGCAAGGC
rnacentral:rRNA from 1 species